GAGUUUGAUCCUGGCUCAGGACGAACGCUGGCGGCGUGCUUCAUACAUGCAAGUCGAACGCGAAUCGGUAGCUUGCUACCGAGGAAAGUGGCGGACGGGUGAGUAAUGUGUAGAGAAUCUGCCCUAGAGCGGGGGACAACAGCUGGAAACGGUUGCUAAUACCCCAUAUGAGCGUAUCUGAAAUGGUAUUCUUGAAAACUCCGGUGCUCUAGGAUGAGUCUGCAUCUGAUUAGCUAGUUGGGGUGUAAUGGACCACCAAGGCGACGAUCAGUAGCUGGUUUGAGAGGAUGAUCAGCCACAAUGGGACUGAGACACGGCCCAUACUCCUACGGGAGGCAGCAGUAGGGAAUUUUGCGCAAUGGGCGAAAGCCUGACGCAGCAACGCCGCGUGAUUGAUAAAG
rnacentral:rRNA from 1 species